rnacentral:rRNA from 1 species
GACGAACGCUGGCGGCGCGCUUAACACAUGCAAGUCGAGCGAGAACCAGGGCUUCGGCCCUGGGGACAGCGGCGAACGGGUGAGUAACACGUGGAUAACCUGCCCUCGGCACCGGGAUAGCCCGGGGAAACCCGGAUUAAUACCGGAUGGCCCUUCCGGCUCACGAGCCGGUCGGAAAAGGUAGCUUCGGCCUCCGGCCGAGGAUGGGUCCGCGGCGGAUUAGCUUGUUGGUGGGGUAACGGCCCACCAAGGCUCCGAUCCGUAGCUGGUCUGAGAGGACGAUCAGCCACACUGGGACUGAGACACGGCCCAGACUCCUACGGGAGGCAGCAGUGGUGAAUCUUGCGCAAUGGGCGAAAGCCUGACGCAGCGACGCCGCGUGAGGGAGGAGGGCCUUCGGGUUGUAAACCUCUUUCAGGAGGGACGAAGCUACUCGGGUGAAUAGCCCAGAGGGUGACGGUACCUCCAGAAGAAGCCCCGGCUAACUACGUGCCAGCCGCCGCCGUAA